AAUGGGCGAAAGCCUGAUGCAGCCAUGCCGCGUGUGUGAAGAAGGCCUUAGGGUUGUAAAGCACUUUCAGUAAGGAAGAAAAAGUUGGGCUAAUAACCCGAUCUUAUGACAUUACUUACAGAAGAAGAUCCGGCUAACUCCGUGCCAGCAGCCGCGGUAAUACGGAGGGAUCGAACGUUAAUCGGAAUUACUGGGCGUAAAGCGCGCGUAGGUGGUUUGAUAAGUGGGAUGUGAAAGCCCCGGGCUUAACCUGGGAACUGCAUUCCAAACUGCCAAACUAGAGUACGAUAGAGGGGGGUAGAAUUCAGAGUGUAGCGGUGAAAUGCGUAGAUAUUCUGAGGAAUACCGGUGGCGAAGGCGGCCCCCUGGAUUGAUACUGACACUGAGGUGCGAAAGCGUGGGGAGCAAACAGGAUU
rnacentral:rRNA from 1 species